GUGCCAGCAGCCGCGGUAAUACGGAGGGGGCUAGCGUUGUUCGGAAUUACUGGGCGUAAAGCGCGCGUAGGCGGCUUUGCAAGUCAGAGGUGAAAGCCCGGGGCUCAACCCCGGAAUUGCCUUUGAGACUGCAUCGCUAGAAUUGUGGAGAGGUAAGUGGAAUUCCGAGUGUAGAGGUGAAAUUCGUAGAUAUUCGGAAGAACACCAGUGGCGAAGGCGACUUACUGGACACAUAUUGACGCUGAGGUGCGAAAGCGUGGGGAGCAAACAGGAUUAGAAACCCUAGUAGUCC
rnacentral:rRNA from 1 species